CCAAUAGCGUAUAUUAAAGUUGUUGCAGUUAAAAAGCUCGUAGUUGAAUUUCGGAAUCUGUCCAUUGGUCGGGCUUCACUGUCCGUACUGGUGUGGUGGGUUCUUACCUUCUGAAUAACCAGCAUGCCAUUCACUUGGUGCGUUGGGGAAGCAGGACUAUUACCUUGAAAAAAUUAGAGUGCUCAAAGCAGGCUAGUGCCUGAAUACAUUAGCAUGGAAUAAUAAAAUAGGACGGCAUGGUUCUAUUUUGUUGGUUUCUAGGAUCACCGUAAUGAUUAAUAGGGAUAGUUGGGGGCAUUAGUAUUCAAUUGUCAGAGGUGAAAUUCUUGGAUUUAUUGAAGACUAACUUCUGCGAAAGCAUUUGCCAAGGAUGUUUUCAUUAAUCAAGAACGAAAGUUAGGGGAUCGAAGACGAUCAGAUACCGUCGUAGUCUUAACCAUAAACUAUGCCGACUAGGGAUCGGACGAUGUUAAUUUUUUAAUGACUCGUUCGGCGCCUUACG
rnacentral:rRNA from 1 species